AGCGAACGCUGGCGGCAGGCUUAACACAUGCAAGUCGAGCGGGCCCUUCGGGGUCAGCGGCGGACGGGUGAGUAACGCGUGGGAACGUGCCUUCUGGUUCGGAAUAACUCAGGGAAACUUGAGCUAAUACCGGAUACGCCCUUUUGGGGAAAGGUUUACUGCCGGACGAUCGGCCCGCGUCUGAUUAGCUAGUUGGUGGGGUAACGGCCUACCAAGGCGACGAUCAGUAGCUGGUCUGAGAGGAUGAUCAGCCACACUGGGACUGAGACACGGCCCAGACUCCUACGGGAGGCAGCAGUGGGGAAUAUUGGACAAUGGGCGCAAGCCUGAUCCAGCCAUGCCGCGUGAGUGAUGAAGGAGUUAGGGUUGUAAAGCUCUUUUAUCCGGGACGAUAAUGACGGUACCGGAGGAAUAAGCCCCGGCUAACUUCGUG
rnacentral:rRNA from 1 species